rnacentral:rRNA from 1 species
GACGAACGCUGGCGGCGUGCUUAACACAUGCAAGUCGAACGAAGAGCGAUGGAAGCUUGCUUCUAUCAAUCUUAGUGGCGCACGGGUGAGUAACGCGUAAUCAACCUGCCCUUCAGAGGGGGACAACAGUUGGAACCGACUGCUAAUACCGCAUCCGAUCUAAUCUCGGCAUCGAGGAUAGAUGAAAGGUGGCCUCUACAUGUAAGCUAUCACUGAAGGAGGGGAUUGCGUCUGAUUAGCUAGUUGGAGGGGUAACGGCCCACCAAGGCGAUGAUCAGUAGCCGGUCUGAGAGGAUGAACGGCCACAUUGGGACUGAGACACGGCCCAGACUCCUACGGGAGGCAGCAGUGGGGAAUCUUCCGCAAUGGACGAAAGUCUGACGGAGCAACGCCGCGUGAGUGAUGACGGCCUUCGGGUUGUAAAGCUCUGUUAAUCGGGACGAAAGGCCUUCUUGCGAAUAGUGAGAAGGAUUGACGGUACCGGAAUAGAAAGCCACGGCUAACUACGUG